UCAAUGCGGACCGGAGACAAUAGCGUAUCUCGAAUAUUAGCGAAAGUCGAAUUUCGAGGUUUUCAGUCAAAUUAUAGCUAAUUUUCGUAUAAUUUUGCAUGAAGUGGUAGGUUUUAGCCACUUAAUUAGUUAAUUGAUCUGAUAUCAACUGAAAAUUACAAUUUUAUACCUUUUGAAAUGGUUUUUAAUAUUCAACCAAAAGGGAAUUAAUUUUGCAUUUGACAUUGGAUGUCUCAAAUAAGUACAAUUUGCUCAGAGAACUGUCAAAUAUAGAAAAAAGCGUAUAGCGAAAUCGCGUAUUUCGAGUAUGGCGUAUACCGAGGAAUACCUGUAUAUUCACACGAGGAAGGCGCUGCCCAAGCUCCCGACCACGCUGGUUUUCGCUGGUCUUUAACGAAUUAUCCCCGAAAAGACCAGCGAAAUACAGAUCAUUUUCGGGGAUAGUGAACACACGUGAAGGAUGAACCCAUGCAAAAAAGAGCUAAAAAUAGAAAUGAACAUUCGGAUUCAUUACCUUCCCUCAUAUUCCAAUUCAUGCUCAUGCUUCAUCCUUGAUGCUACCAACCACAUCGCUAAUUCUACUUCGAAUCACUUUGCCAGUUGCGCCAUCAUAUUAUUAUUCAUGAUCGUGCUAUUUGCUUGUUUUGUUGUAUGAAGGGGUACUGAUACUAAAUGAAUUAAAAGAAAUAAAUAAAACAAUAAAAAUACAGGCGGUCCGCGAGAUACACGGGUAAUGGGGACCGAAAACGGCCGCAAAAUACCGCGUAUCUCGAAUUUCCGCGUAAGUCGAAUCUCGUGAUUUCCAGCUAAAAUAUCACAAAUUUUCGUGUAAUUUUGCAAGUAGGGGGCGGUUUUAGUUACUUUAUGAAUUAUUUGAUAUGAUUCUGACUGAAUAUAACUGUUUUAAACCUUUUGAAAUAGUUUUGAACAUUCGAUAAAAACGGAAAUUAUUUGGCAAUUUGCAAUUGAUGUGUCAAAUCAGUACAAUUUGCUCAAAGAAUUGUCAAAUUUAUAAAACCGCGUAUCUCCGAAUCCGCGUAUAAGAGAUACCGUGUAUCUCGGGGACCGCCUGUAAUAGAUUGACUAUUAAACACUCAUUUCUAACAAUUAGAAAAGGGGUCUGAAGUUACUGGAGCUGCAUGUUUUAAAAAGAAAUCAAAACUUUAAAUCAUCAAUGAAAACAAUAAAAAUGGAAUUGAACUCAUGUCGACCAUGGUGCAAACAUUACACCAUUACCAUUUGACCAUUACUAGUUCAUGAAUAUGAAUCGUUAUCUAUCAGUUUUAAACCCUUCAAAUAUAGCACAAUGAAUAAAGAGAUGUCUAAAAGUUCAUCGAUGCGUGUGAGAGAGUAGAGCUGAUGAAUAGAAAGAGAUGGCAUGAGUUUAUGUUCAUUAUCCCCGAAAAAUUUCGCUUGGGUGGUUCGCGUUCUCAUCAAAAAGUGGUAGUGUGAAAUCAAGUUUGCAAGCAGAAGGACGAGUCGAUGCGUGCUCGUUUUUUCUCUCGUGAAACCACUACGGAAAAACUAUUUGAAAUCGUAACACACGCACGAACGGAAGUGAGCACGGACCACGAUAGAAACAAUAUUCAAUUGGUUGCAGUGCCGAAAACAACAGAACAGGAGAGGAAAGAAGGCAGGCACGAUCCUCCAACGUGCUACCGCCUGGGAGAGGAGAAGCAGCAGGAAGGU